AUUGAACGCUGGCGGCAGGCCUAACACAUGCAAGUCGAACGGUAACAGGAAACAGCUUGCUGUUUCGCUGACGAGUGGCGGACGGGUGAGUAAUGUCUGGGAAACUGCCUGAUGGAGGGGGAUAACUACUGGAAACGGUAGCUAAUACCGCAUAACGUCGCAAGACCAAAGAGGGGGACCUUCGGGCCUCUUGCCAUCAGAUGUGCCCAGAUGGGAUUAGCUAGUAGGUGGGGUAACGGCUCACCUAGGCGACGAUCCCUAGCUGGUCUGAGAGGAUGACCAGCCACACUGGAACUGAGACACGGUCCAGACUCCUACGGGAGGCAGCAGUGGGGAAUAUUGCACAAUGGGCGCAAGCCGGAUGCAGCCAUGCCGCGUGUAUGAAGAAGGCCUUCGGGUUGUAAAGUACUUUCAGCGGGGAGGAAGGGAGUAAAGUUAAUACCUUUGCUCAUUGACGUUACCCGCAGAAGAAGCACCGGCUAACUCCGUG
rnacentral:rRNA from 1 species